rnacentral:snoRNA from 1 species
AUUAAAAAAAAAAAGAAAGGGCAAAGUAAAACCACCACUUUUGGGUGAAGCUGCAGCAUGCUCUGUGGUUUUGCUUCAAUCCUGGUGUGUCAAGG